AUACGUAGGUCCCGAACGUUGCGCGAAAUUACUGGGCGUAAAGGGUCCGUAGGCGGUCUGGUAAGUGGAAGGUGAAAGCCUGGGGCUCAACUCCAGAAUUGCCUUCCAAACUGCCGGACUUGAGGCAGGGAGAGGUCGGCGGAAUUCCCGGUGUAGUGGUGAAAUGCGUAGAUAUCGGGAGGAACACCAGUGGCGAAGGCGGCCGACUGGAACUGUCCUGACGCUGAGGGACGAAAGCCAGGGGAGCGAACCGGAUUAGAAACCCCGGUAGUCC
rnacentral:rRNA from 1 species